GUCGGGUGCAGUGGCGCGUGCCUGUAAUCCAAGCUGCUGGGAGGCUGAGGCUGGUGGAUCGCUUGAGUUCAGGGGUUUCUGGACUGCAGUGGACUAUGUCGAUCAGGUGUCCACACUAAGUUCAGUAUCGAUAUGGUGCUCCUGGGGGAGCUUGGGACCACCAGGUCGUCUAAGGAGGGGUGAACCGACCCAGGUCGGAGACGGAGCAGGUCAAAUCCCCCGUGCUGAUCAGUAGUGGGGUCGCACCUGUGAAUAGACACUGCAGUGCAGCCUGAGCGAUACAGUGAGACUCAGUCUUUU
ensembl:misc_RNA Metazoa_SRP Metazoan signal recognition particle RNA